rnacentral:rRNA from 1 species
UGGGGAAUAUUGCACAAUGGGGGAAACCCUGAUGCAGCAACGCCGCGUGAAGGAAGACGGUUUUCGGAUUGUAAACUUCUUUUCUUAGUGAAGAAACAAAUGACGGUAGCUAAGGAAUAAGCAUCGGCUAACUACGUGCCAGCAGCCGCGGUAAUACGUAGGAUGCGAGCGUUAUCCGGAUUUACUGGGUGUAAAGGGAGCGCAGGCGGGACUGCAAGUUGGAUGUGAAAUACCGCAGCUUAACUGCGGAGCUGCAUCCAAAACUGUAGUUCUUGAGUGGAGUAGAGGCAAGCGGAAUUCCGAGUGUAGCGGUGAAAUGCGUAGAUAUUCGGAGGAACACCAGUGGCGAAGGCGGCUUGCUGGGCUCUAACUGACGCUGAGGCUCGAAAGUGUGGGGAGCAAACAGGAUUAGAUACC